rfam:Xylella fastidiosa Ann-1 ctg_245, whole genome shotgun sequence.
GUCGGGAGGGCGGCAGCGAUACAACACCCGCAAGGGGAAAACUGCCCGCCGUCCGAGUUCGGUUUCUUAGCCUCCCGACACCCACAG